GAUAACCUCGGGAAACUGGGUAUAAUACCCGAUAGGUCUCGAUUGCUGGAAUGCAUCGAGAUUUAAAGCUCCGGCGCCUAAGGAUGGGUCUGCGGCCUAUCAGGUAGUAGUGGGUGUAGCGUACCUACUAGCCUACGACGGGUACGGGUUGUGAGAGCAAGAGCCCGGAGAUGGAUUCUGAGACACGAAUCCAGGCCCUACGGGGUGCAGCAGGCGCGAAAACUUUACAAUGCUGGCAACAGCGAUAAGGGAACCUCGAGUGCCAGGUUACAAAUCUGGCUGUCGAGAUGCCUAAAAAGCAUUUCAUAGCAAGGGCCGGGCAAGACCGGUGCCAGCCGCCGCGGUAACACCGGCGGCUCGAGUGGUAACCGUUAUUAUUGGGUCUAAAGGGUCUGUAGCCGGCCGGAUAAGUCUCUUGAGAAAUCUGGCAGCUUAACUGUCACGCUUUCAGGAGAUACUGUCUGGCUCGAGGCCGGGAGAGGUGAGAGGUACUUCACGGGUAGGGGUGAAAUCUUGUAAUCCUUGAAGGACCACCAGUGGCGAAGCGUCUCACCAGAACGGACCUGACGGCAAGGAACGAAAGCUACGGGCACGAACCCGGAUUAGAUACCCGGGUAGUCCUAGCCGUAAACGAUACUCGCUAGGUGUCGGCCACGGUGCGACCGUUGUCGUGCCGUCGGAAGCCGUCAGCGAGCCACCUGGUAAGUACGGCCGCAAGCUGAACUAAUGGAAUGGCGGGGGGAGCACACACGGUGGAGCUGCGGUUUAUUGGAUUCAACGCGGAAUCUUACCGGACCGAACGCAAUAUGAGGCAAGCUGAAAACUUGCCGGAAUAGCUGAGAGGUGGGGCAU
rnacentral:rRNA from 1 species